UAUUGCGCAUCGGACGUUUCAACCCGACCGAUGCACACAUCCUUGAGUGCCUAC
rnacentral:rRNA from 1 species